GAUGAACGCUGGCGGCGUGCUUAACACAUGCAAGUCGAACGAUGAAGCCCAGCUUGCUGGGUGGAUUAGUGGCGAACGGGUGAGUAACACGUGAGUAACCUGCCCUUAACUCUGGGAUAAGCCUGCGAAACUGGGUCUAAUACCGGAUAGGAGCGCCUACCGCAUGGUGGGGGUUGGAAAGAUUUAUCGGGUUUGGAUGGACUCGCGGCCUAUCAGCUUGUUGGUGAGGUAGUGGCUCACCAAGGCGAUGACGGGUAGCCGGCCUGAGAGGGUGACCGGCCACACUGGGACUGAGACACGGCCCAGACUCCUACGGGAGGCAGCAGUGGGGAAUAUUGCACAAUGGGCGAAAGCCUGGUGCAGCGACGCCGCGUGCGGGAUGACGGCCUUCGGGUUGUAAACCUCUUUCAGUAGGGAAGAAGCGAAAGUGACGGUACCUGGAAAAGAAGCACCGGCUAACUACGUG
rnacentral:rRNA from 1 species